GGUGGAAUAGCUGGGUCACAUGUUCACUCUAAACUUUCUGAAAAACCACCAGACUCUUUUCCAAAGUGGCUGCACCAUUUCACAUUCCCACUGGCAAC
rnacentral:pre_miRNA from 1 species